rnacentral:snoRNA from 1 species
UGGACCAUCAAAUGACAACUGGUGGCUUAUGUGGUUGUAUAUGCUGGUUGUAUAUGAAGAAUAGUACGUAUCGGAAAGUUUGAGGUCCAA